UACGUAGGGUGCGAGCGUUAAUCGGAAUUACUGGGAGUAAAGCGUGCGCAGGCGGAUAUUUAAGUCAGAUGUGAAAUCCCCGGGCUUAACCUGGGAAUUGCAUUUGAAACUGGAUGUCUAGAGUGCGUCAGAGGGGGGUGGAAUUCCACGUGUAGCAGUGAAAUGCGUAGAGAUGUGGAGGAACACCGAUGGCGAAGGCAGCCCCCUGGGAUGACACUGACGCUCAUGCACGAAAGCGUGGGGAGCAAACAGG
rnacentral:rRNA from 1 species